CCUACGGGUGGCAGCAGUGGGGAAUAUUGGACAAUGGGCGAAAGCCUGAUCCAGCCAUGCCGCGUGUGUGAAGAAGGCCUUCGGGUUGUAAAGCACUUUCAGUGGGGAAGAAAGCCUUGGGGCUAAUACCCUCGAGGAAGGACAUCACCCACAGAAGAAGCACCGGCUAACUCCGUGCCAGCAGCCGCGGUAAUACGGAGGGUGCGAGCGUUAAUCGGAAUUACUGGGCGUAAAGCGCGCGUAGGCGGUCUGAUAAGCCGGUUGUGAAAGCCCCGGGCUCAACCUGGGAACGGCAUCCGGAACUGUCAGGCUAGAGUACAGGAGAGGAAGGUAGAAUUCCCGGGGGAGCGGUGAAAUGCGUAGAGAUCGGGAGGAAUUCCAGUGGCGAAGGCGGCCUUCUGGACUGACACUGACGCUGAGGGGCGAAAGCGUUGGUAGCAAACAGGAAUAGAUACCCGUGUAGUC
rnacentral:rRNA from 1 species